AUUGAACGCUGGCGGCAUGCCUAACACAUGCAAGUCGAACGGCAGCACAAUAAAGAUUUCGGUCUUUAUGGGUGGCGAGUGGCGGACGGGUGAGUAACGCGUAGGAAUCUGUCCUGGAGAGUGGGGUAACCCGAGGAAACUCGGGCUAAUACUGCAUGACAUUGAGAGAUCAAAAGCAGGGGACCGAAAGGCCUUGCACUCUGGGGUGAGCCUACGUCGGAUUAGCUAGUUGGUGGGGUAAAGGCCUACCAAGGCGACGAUCCGUAGCUGGUCUGAGCGGAUGACCAGCCACACCGGGACUGAGACACGGCCCAGACUCCUACGGGAGGCAGCAGUGGGGAAUCUUGGACAAUGGGGGAAACCCUGAUCCAGCGAUGCCGCGUGUGUGAAGAAGGCCUUCGGGUUGUAAAGCACUUUAGGUGGGGAAGAAAGGUAGCGAGUGAAUAACUUUCUGCUGUGACGGUACCCACAGAAUAAGCACCGGCUAACUCUGUGCCAGCCGCCGCCGUAA
rnacentral:rRNA from 1 species